GCGGCAAGAGCUCAAAUUUGAAAUCUGGCUCCUUCGGGGCCCGAGUUGUAAUUUGUAGAGGAUGCUUCGGGCGUGGCCGCGGUCUAAGUCCCCUGGAACGGGGCGUCGCAGAGGGUGAGAAUCCCGUCUUCGGCCGGCCGGCCCCGCCCGUGUGAAGCUCCUUCGACGAGUCGAGUUGUUUGGGAAUGCAGCUCUAAAUGGGUGGUAAAUUUCAUCUAAAGCUAAAUACUGGUCGGAGACCGAUAGCGCACAAGUAGAGUGAUCGAAAGAUGAAAAGCACUUUGAAAAGAGAGUUAAACAGCAUGUGAAAUUGUUGAAAGGGAAGCGCUUGCGACCAGAGUCGGCCGCGGGGGCUCAGCGGGCACUCGUUGCCCGUGCACUCCCCCGUGGUCGGGCCAGCGUCGGUUUCGACGGCCGGUCAAAGGCCCCCGGAAUGUGUCGCCUCUCGGGGCGUCUUAUAGCCGGGGGUGCAAUGCGGCCAGUCGGGACCGAGGAACGCGCUCCGGCACGGACGCUGGCUUAAUGGUCGUAAGCGACCCGUCUUGAAACACGGACCAAGGAGUCUAACAUCCACGCGAGUGUUCGGGUGUCAAACCCGUCCGCGCAGUGAAAGCGAACGGAGGUGGGAACCCUCAAGGGUGCACCAUCGACCGAUCCUGAAGUCUUCGGAUGGAUUUGAGUAAGAGCGUGGCUGUUGGGACCCGAAAGAUG
rnacentral:rRNA from 1 species